AUACAAUCGACUAGUAAUCGAAUAGCAGUCGACAUACGAUACUACUCUAGAGAAUCAAAUCUAAUAGAGAGUGGAAACCUACAUGAGAGUAAAUCCAAAAAGAGACAUCUUUUACAACGAGAGACAAUCAGGGAGGUGAGCAAAUUGAGGAUCGAAAAAUGCGAAAGGUAGAUGAGCAGCAAUGGGAACAGGAAUCCUACUGUUCCUGUUAUUAAUAAAAAAUUCUCUUCCACGCACAUGGGAGCACAUAAAACUAGAUUUUUGUGUGCAAACAGAAGGACAAAGUAUCAAUUCGUUUGGCAUAAGCCUCUAAGCGGACAUACAGGACUGAACGCUCAAUGGUGGAUUCGUAUAUUCUCGCCCUGUCACAUAAGGCGAAACGUCUACUGAAUGCUAUUUAACUUUCCAUGGGACAUCUCACAAUUUUUGAUUAAAUGCCGAUGUUGAAAAGGAAGCCUGUGGACCUGUGCUCACUCCACCUCUUGACUAUCGACAACUGGAUGUGUUGUUAAAAUACAAAGACGGCCGAAUAACCAUGGGAGAGGAAAACAAUGAACGUUACGCCGUGAUGGCAGCAGUGAAUAGGCCCUGUAAUGUUUCACAUAGUUCGAACAACGCAUUUGGGAACUUCCGGCUGGAGAAUUUCUCCCCAAGUCUCCAAAGCCCCCUGAAUAAUAGCAGUACCAAAUGAAAACGAUUCAACAAUGCACAGGAUGCCGUCCUUGGGAUAACAUUGCAAAUCACAAUAGCGACCGCAAAUGCAAGCGACAGGUUGCUGAAUAGACAAGAGAACUCAAAGUGGAGAAGUGUUACGAGUGCCACGUGGAUUAUUACUACUUACGCAACAUAUAACAUUAUAAUUAAGAACAUUGUGAGAAAAUAGUCUAGAUUUUCCAGUCAUUGAGUGUAGGAACCUUAAUUAAUUCAAAAUAGGUUUCAAGCAUUUAAUUGAAUUGACAAGAAUUCUCUCAUUGAAGUUCAUAUCUCAUUUUUUUUCUCUGAAAUCGUUGUCCAUUUCCACCUUUCAUUCAUCCCCGAC